ACGCUGGCGGCAGGCCUAACACAUGCAAGUCGAGCGGAAACGAUCCUAGCUUGCUAGGAGGCGUCGAGCGGCGGACGGGUGAGUAACACGUGAGAAUCUGCCCAUUAGAGGGGGAUAACCUGGGGAAACCCAGGCUAAUACCGCAUAAUCCCUACGGGGGAAAGCAGGGGAUCUUCGGACCUUGUGCUGAUGGAUGAGCUCGCGUCGGAUUAGCUUGUUGGUGAGGUAAUGGCUCACCAAGGCGACGAUCCGUAGCUGGUCUUAGAGGAUGAUCAGCCACACCGGGACUGAGACACGGCCCGGACUCCUACGGGAGGCAGCAGUGGGGAAUCUUGGACAAUGGGGGCAACCCUGAUCCAGCCAUGCCGCGUGUGUGAAGAAGGCCUUCGGGUUGUAAAGCACUUUCAGUAGGGAGGAAGGCUUAUCCUUAAUACGGAUGAGUACUUGACGUUACCUACAGAAGAAGCACCGGCUAAUUU
rnacentral:rRNA from 1 species